AGUGAACGCUGGCGGUAGGCCUAACACAUGCAAGUCGAACGGCAGCACAGUAAGCGCUCGUUUCUACUGUUGGCGACUGGCGGAUGGGUGAGGAAUACAUCGCCUUCUACUUUUUCGUGGGGGAUUUCGUAGGGCAACUUCCGCUAAUACCUCAUACUUCCUACGGGUUAAUGCAGGGGAUCUUCGCACUUUUCCUGUUUCUUUUAGCCGAUUUCGGAUUAGCUAGUUGGCUGGGUAAAGUCCCACCAAGGCGACGCUCCGUAGCUGGUCUGAGAGGAUGAUCAGCCACACUGGAACUGAGACACGGUCCAGACUCCUACGGGAGGCAGCAGUGGGGAAUAUUGGACAAUGGGCGAAAGCCUGAUGGAGCAAUGCCGCGUGGGUGAAGAAGGUCUUCGGGUUGUAAAACCCUGUUGUUAGGAAAGAAAAGAAGUAGAAUAAAACGCGGAUGUUCUGACGGUACCUAAAGAAUAAGCAACGGCUAACUACGUG
rnacentral:rRNA from 1 species